UACGUAGGGCGCAAGCGUUAUCCGGAAUUAUUGGGCGUAAAGAGCUCGUAGGCGGUUUGUCGCGUCUGCCGUGAAAGUCCGGGGCUCAACUCCGGAUCUGCAGUGGGUACGGGCAGACUAGAGUGUGGUAGGGGAGACUGGAAUUCCUGGUGUAGCGGUGAAAUGCGCAGAUAUCAGGAGGAACACCGAUGGCGAAGGCAGGUCUCUGGGCAUUAACUGACGCUGAGGAGCGAAAGCAUGGGGAGCGAACAGG
rnacentral:rRNA from 1 species